CAACUACUUCCUCUGUCCCAAAUUUCUUGUCUUAGAUUUGUCUAGAUACGGAUGUAUCUAAUACUAAAAUGUGACUUGAUACAUCCGUAUCUAGACAAAUCUAAGACAAUAAUUUUGGGACGGAGGGAGUACUUU
rnacentral:pre_miRNA from 1 species